AUUGAACGCUAGCGGGAUGCCUUACACAUGCAAGUCGAACGGAGUGGCGAACGGGUGAGUAAUGUAUCGGAACGUGCCCAGUAGCGGGGGAUAACUACGCGAAAGCGUAGCUAAUACCGCAUACGAUUGGAGCGGCCGCAAUUGGAUUAGCUAGGUGGUGGGGUAACGGCUCACCAAGGCGACGAUCCGUAGCUGGUUUGGGGGGAUGACCAGCCACUAUGGGACUGAGCCACGGCCCAGACUCCUCCGGGAGGCAGCCGUGGGGAAUUUUGGACAAGGGGGGAAACCCUGAUCCAGCCAACCCGCGUGUGCGAUGAAGGGCUUCGGGUUGUAAAGCACUUUUGGCAGGAAAGCGGUACCUGCAGAAUAAGCACCGGCUAACUACGUGCCAGCAGCCGCGGUAAUAC
rnacentral:rRNA from 1 species